GAAUUGCGAAAAGUAAUGUGAAUUGCAGAAUUUCGUGAAUCAUCGAAUCUUUGAACGCACCUUGCACUUUCUGGUCCUCCAGAAAGUAUGCCUGUUUGAGUAUCAUAUACACCCCUCAUUCGCGUGAAGGGCGCUGCACUUGUGCGGAGCUCGGCGCGCGCAAUGGAACUGAGCAUUCAGUGUGCCGGCCUUGCGCUGGCGCCUUCAGCUGGUUGCUUGAAAUGUAGCGUUGUUGUGCUUGGCACUGUUUCGUACUAGCGUAUUAGUUCAUUUCGAUUUUCUACGCACUAACGGUACAAACGCAGCUUGCAGCAGCGACCCCAUUUAACCGAGCAUGCACUGGCAGUUGACGGUGCGUCUCCAACUAUUGAUCUCAAAUCAGGCAAGAUUACCCGCUGAA
rnacentral:misc_RNA from 1 species